rnacentral:rRNA from 1 species
CCAACAGCGUAUAUUAAAGUUGUUGCAGUUAAAAAGCUCGUAGUUGAAUUGAGGGAUUGACGUGACGGUCGUGCCUUACGGGGUAUGAACUGUUGCUGUUGAUUUUUCUCACCUUCUGGAGAAACUUGAUGUCCUUAAUUGGGUGUCUUGCGGAUCCAGGACCUUUACCUUGAAAAAAUUAGAGUGUUUAAAGCAGGCAUUUUGCUCGAAUACAUUAGCA